GGUAAAGACCUAUCGAACCUAGCAUAUAUAAAGCAGUAAAAGCAUGCAGAGUCUACCAGCCGAUACGAUCUGAUAAUUGUGAACGUUUAAAUAAGGCAAGGGAGUCGAUGAACACAACCUAACCAGAUUUAAGCCAUUCGAUAACUGUGAGCAAUGUCGAAGAUAAGCAGAAUAUUGGACAAAGCCUAGAAAAUUCUACUUGCAAUCUAAGAAUACUCGAUAACUAGCC
rnacentral:lncRNA from 1 species